UCCUAGUUUCCUAGGCAGUCCCAUUAGAGUGCUUUCAAAGAAUAGCAACUAAUGGCAAGAGUUGCGCUCGUUAAAGGACUUAACCCAACAUCUCACGACACGAGCUGACGACAGCCAUGCAGCACCUGUGUAUUUGUCUAGAGUUACCCCUAGAAAUUCUUAUUUCUAAGAAGGUCAAAUACAUGUCAAACCUAGGUAAGGUUCCUCGCGUAGUGUCGAAUUAAACCACAUGUUCCACCGCUUGUGCGGACCCCCGUCAAUUUCUUUAAGUUUUAAUCUUGCGACCGUACUCCCCAGGCGGAUCACUUAACGCGUUAGCUACGACACUAAAUUCGCAACGCGAAUCUAACGUCUAGUGAUCAUCGUUUACGGCGUGGACUAC
rnacentral:misc_RNA from 1 species